UGGAGAGAAAGGCAGUUC
rnacentral:piRNA from 2 species